rnacentral:rRNA from 1 species
GAGAGGUUGAUCCUGGCUCAGGAUGAACGCUAGCGACAGGCCUAACACAUGCAAGUCGAGGGGCAGCAUUUCUAGCUUGCUAGAAGAUGGCGACCGGCGCACGGGUGAGUAACGCGUAUGCAACCUACCUUAUACUGGGGGAUAGCCCAGAGAAAUCUGGAUUAAUACCGCAUAACAAUGUUUUGUCGCAUGGCAGAAUAUUUAAAACUCCGGUGGUAUAAGAUGGGCAUGCGUAGCAUUAGUUAGUUGGUGAGGUAACGGCUCACCAAGACGAUGAUGCUUAGGGGGUCUGAGAGGAUAGUCCCCCACACUGGUACUGAGACACGGACCAGACUCCUACGGGAGGCAGCAGUGAGGAAUAUUGGUCAAUGGACGCAAGUCUGAACCAGCCAUGUCGCGUGCAGGAUGACGGCCCUAUGGGUUGUAAACUGCUUUUUUUACAGGAAUAAUUGUCUCUACGUGUAGAGAUUUGAAUGUACUGUAUGAAUAAGGAUCGGCUAACUCCGUGCCAGCAGCCGCGGUAAUACGGAGGAUUCGAGCGUUAUCCGGAUUUAUUGGGUUUAAAGGGUCCGUAGGCGGUCUUUUAAGUCAGUGGUGAAAUCCCAGAGCUCAACUCUGGAACUGCCAUUGAAACUGAAAGACUUGAAUAUGGUUGAGGUAGGCGGAAUACGUUAUGUAGCGGUGAAAUGCAUAGAUAUAACGUAGAACACCAAUUGCGAAGGCAGCUUACUAAUCUAUAACUGACGCUGAUGCACGAAAGCGUGGGUAGCAAACAGGAUUAGAUACCCUGGUAGUCCACGCUGUAAACGAUGUUCACUCGUUGUUGGCGAUACAUAGUCAGCGACUAAGCGAAAGUGAUAAGUGAACCACCUGGGGAGUACGAUCGCAAGGUUGAAACUCAAAGGAAUUGACGGGGGCCCGCACAAGCGGAGGAGCAUGUGGUUUAAUUCGAUGAUACGCGAGGAACCUUACCUGGGCUUAAAUGUAGAUUGACAGUCAAAGAGAUUUGAUUUUCUUCGGACAAUUUACAAGGUGCUGCAUGGUUGUCGUCAGCUCGUGCCGUGAGGUGUCGGGUUAAGUCCCAUAACGAGCGCAACCCCUACCGUUAGUUGCCAUCAGGUCAAGCUGGGGACUCUAGCGGAACUGCCUGCGCAAGCAGAGAGGAAGGUGGGGAUGACGUCAAAUCAGCACGGCCCUUAUGUCCAGGGCUACACACGUGCUACAAUGGUCGGUACAGAGGGCAGCUACCUAGCAAUAGGAUGCAAAUCUCGAAAGCCGAUCUCAGUUCGGAUCGGAGUCUGCAACUCGACUCCGUGAAGUUGGAUUCGCUAGUAAUCGGAUAUCAGCAAUGAUCCGGUGAAUACGUUCCCGGGCCUUGUACACACCGCCCGUCAAGCCAUGGAAGCCGGGAGUACCUGAAGUUCGUGACCGUAAGGAGCGACCUAGGGUGAAACUGGUAACUGGGGCUAAGUCGGAACAAGGUAGCCGUAG